rnacentral:lncRNA from 1 species
UUACUAUCAAAUAACCUUCGAAAUGUUACUAGUUAUUACGUGUCAGAGGGCAGAUUUAUGAUAAACUAACUUUGAAACAAAAUAAUGAAUUCUCAGCGUUCUGUUUCCAGCAGCAUUUCUGGUAAUUUGGCUGGAUUUAAAUUUUAAAACAGUGGAGUUGAAUACAGUGGUUAACUGCAAGCAAUAUGUUCUGAAGAUGAUGGUGUUCAGACAAAUACCCAAUUUGAUUCUGAUAAAUUGGAUGCAAGACUUUGACCAGCAUGAGAAGAACAGGCAUUGUGGAAGCAGGCAGCAUCCCAGAUCUGUGGAGGAGCUCAGCAGGAGGAGAACAAGUGGGGGAAAAUAUUCCUAGUGUUGUGUUGCUGCUCAGGCAGUUUGACCAGGGGCCUGUGGUGGUCCAGCUCGUUGGAAACUUUUGUGCAGAAACCAGGAGGAUGCUACAGCUGGAGCUAAUCCCUGAGAAAACAGCACCACCAGCAACAACAGUUUGCUCUAGACAAGAAAAAAGGUGGAAGAGGUGGGGCUGAGAGGGGUUUUCUCCUUCAAAAGAAGAAAUGUGGCUUUCCAGGCACCUGUGUGCUGAAAUGGAUUGAGAUGCAGGUGAGGUGGACUCGCUCCUCUGCAGGGUGGGGGAAAGGGCAGAGUUUGUUCGGGUCUUGGGGUGGUUUGGGCUGGUGCCCU